rnacentral:rRNA from 1 species
GAUGAACGCUGGCGGCGUGCCUAACACAUGCAAGUCGAACGAAGCACCUUACCUGAUUCUUCGGAUGAAAGUUUGGUGACUGAGUGGCGGACGGGUGAGUAACGCGUGGGUAACCUGCCCUGCACAGGGGGAUAACAGCUGGAAACGGCUGCUAAUACCGCAUAAGCGCACGAGGAGACAUCUCCUUGUGUGAAAAACUCCGGUGGUACAGGAUGGGCCCGCGUCUGAUUAGCUGGUUGGCAGGGUAACGGCCUACCAAGGCAACGAUCAGUAGCCGGUCUGAGAGGAUGAACGGCCACAUUGGAACUGAGACACGGUCCAAACUCCUACGGGAGGCAGCAGUGGGGAAUAUUGCACAAUGGGGGAAACCCUGAUGCAGCAACGCCGCGUGAGUGAAGAAGUAUUUCGGUAUGUAAAGCUCUAUCAGCAGGGAAGAUAAUGACGGUACCUGACUAAGAAGCUCCGGCUAAAUACGUG